GGGAAGGUGGUUUAAUUGGUAAAACGCUUGCUUUGCAAGCAAGAUGACAUCGGUUCGAAUCCGUUCCUUUCCA
rnacentral:tRNA from 1 species